AUUGAACGCUGGCGGCAGGCCUAACACAUGCAAGUCGAGCGGAUGAAGGGAGCUUGCUCCUGGAUUCAGCGGCGGACGGGUGAGUAAUGCCUAGGAAUCUGCCUGGUAGUGGGGGACAACGUUUCGAAAGGAACGCUAAUACCGCAUACGUCCCACGGGAGAAAGCAGGGGACCUUCGGGCCUUGCGCUAUCAGAUGAGCCUAGGUCGGAUUAGCUAGUUGGUGAGGUAAUGGCUCACCAAGGCGACGAUCCGUAACUGGUCUGAGAGGAUGAUCAGUCACAAUGGAACUGAGACACGGUCCAGACUCCUACGGGAGGCAGCAGUGGGGAAUAUUGGACAAUGGGCGAAAGCCUGAUCUAGCCAUGCCGCGUGUGUGAAGAAGGUCUUCGGAUUGUAAAGCACUUUAAGUUGGGAGGAAGGGUUGUAGAUUAAUACUCUGCAAUUUUGACGUUACCGACAGAAUAAGCACCGGCUAACUCUGUGCCAGCCGCCGCGGUAA
rnacentral:rRNA from 1 species